UGAGCAAUCUGCCCUUCUCAUCGGAAUAAGCGUUGGAAACGACGUCUAAUGCCGAAUACGACCUCCUUUCGCAUGAUCGGAGGUGGAAAGCUCCGGCGGAGAAGGAUGAGCUCGCGGCCCAUCAGCUAGUUGGUGUGGGUAAUGGCCCACCAAGGCGACGACGGGUAGCCGGCCUGAGAGGGUGACCCGGCCACACUGGGACUGAGACACGGCCCAGACCUCCGUACGGGAGCAG
rnacentral:rRNA from 1 species